GGUGAAGAACGUAGUGAAAUGCGAUAAGUAGUGUGAAUUGCAGAAUUCAGUGAAUCAUCGAAUCUUUGAACGCACAUUGCGCCCCUUGGUAUUCCAUGGGGCAUGCCUGUUCGAGCGUCAUUUGUACCUUCAAGCUUUGCUUGGUGUUGGGUGUUUGUCCUGAGGGACUCGCCUUAAAGUAAUUGGCAGCCAGUGUUUGGUUUUGAAGCGCAGCACAAGUCGCGAUUCAAAGCUAUACGCCCGCUUCCACAAGCCUUUUUCACUUUUGACCUCGGAUCAGGUAGGGAUACCCGCUGAACUUAAGCAUAUCAAUAAGCGGAGGA
rnacentral:misc_RNA from 1 species